UAUGUAAUGUGCCAGCAGCCGCGGUAAUACGUAGGUGGCAAGCGUUGUCCGGAAUUAUUGGGCGUAAAGAGCAUGUAGGCGGGCUUUUAAGUCUGACGUGAAAAUGCGGGGCUUAACCCCGUAUGGCGUUGGAUACUGGAAGUCUUGAGUGCAGGAGAGGAAAGGGGAAUUCCCAGUGUAGCGGUGAAAUGCGUAGAUAUUGGGAGGAACACCAGUGGCGAAGGCGCCUUUCUGGACUGUGUCUGACGCUGAGAUGCGAAAGCCAGGGUAGCAAACGGG
rnacentral:rRNA from 1 species